AAAGUUCCCUUCGGGGAGCAAGUAGAGUGGCGCACGGGUGAGUAACACGUAGGUAAUCUACCUUUGGAUUGGGAAUAACAACCGGAAACGGUUGCUAAUACCGAAUAAUGCAGCGGCACCUAAUGGUGACAGUUGUUAAAGCGGGGGAUCGCAAGACCUCGCGUCUGAAGAGGAGCCUGCGGCAGAUUAGCUAGUUGGUAGGGUAACGGCUUACCAAGGCUAUGAUCUGUAGCCGGCCUGAGAGGGCGGUCGGCCACACUGACACUGACAUACGGGUCAGACUCCUACGGGAGGCAGCAGUCGGGAAUUUUGGGCAAUGGGCGAAAGCCUGACCCAGCAACGCCGCGUGAAGGAUGAAAUCCUUCGGGAUGUAAACUUCGCAAGAACGGGAAGAAUAAGCCGGUGCAAAUAUCACCGGCGAUGACGGUACUGUUUGUAAGCUCCGGCUAACUCCGUGCCAGCAGCCGCGGUAAUACGGGGGGAGCAAGCGUUGUUCGGAUUUACUGGGCGUAAAGGGCGCGUAGGCGGCCACCGCAAGUCAGUUGUGAAAUCUCUGGGCUUAACCCAGAAAGGUCAACUGAUACUGCGGGGCUAGAGUGCAGAAGGGGCAACUGGAAUUCUCGGUGUAGCGGUGAAAUGCGUAGAUAUCGAGAGGAACACCUGCGGCGAAGGCGGGUUGCUGGGCUGACACUGACGCUGAGGCGCGAAAGCUAGGGGAGCGAACGGGAUUAGAUACCCCGGUAGUCCUAGCCUUAAACGAUGAAUGCUUGGUGUCU
rnacentral:rRNA from 1 species